AAGACCACAAAAAGUUCACGUAGAUGACUCUUAAGAAAUUCUAUUUUAUAGACAUUGAAAAGGCCUUCAUUUAGAAAACACAACUCAAGAUCCAAUAAAACAAAGGACCUCACUGGAUCUAGUAUUGUGCUUUAGAAUCACGCUGAAAGAUAAACAAACUGUAAGACAAAAACAAGAGAGUGAUGGCCUUUUUUGCAUGCUUUCAAACGAGCUCCUGCAGUGAAAACAAUAUAAGAUGUCAUAAACAUAAAAUGGACAAAGCUUAUGGUAACAGAUCACUUUAACAAAGACUAGAGGAUGAAUUCAGGAAUGUAAAAAACACAAACAAAAGAACAAAAACGGAUCCAAGCUUACAUUCAAAAGGAACAAUACAUAAAGUCAUAAACUAAUGAUGAUGAAGUAGCUAAAUCCUGAUUAGUGAUUAAGGUAUCAGGCUACUGAGAAUGUGAUACAUCAGAGAGAAGAAUAUAGCAUUUAUAGUCAGUUCGAUCACAGAUCCCCCCAACCUUUCAGAUAUUAGAAGAGCCAAAACAUGCUGAGAUCAAUCAAAACAAAAAGAAAGUGACCAAAAGACAUGACAAAAUGAUGUCUGAAAGCAAUAAGAUUAUUCAGCAGGUUGUAACGGAGCCGGAUAAAUUGCAGCAAAUCCAAACAAAAGAAACCACUGAUAAGCAUAUAAAAUAUAUAUAUAUAUAUACAGAAGCAGAGUAAAGCAGCCAUGACCCCAAUUGGUUAAUUGAAGCAGAUUAAGCUGUCAUAACUCAAAUUUUUUUGACUGAAGCAGCCAUUACUUUAAUUUUUUUUAACUGAAGCAGAUUAAGCAGCCAUUGCUAUGAAGCAGACAUUAAUUUUAUUUUUUUAAGCUCUCUACCAAAUGCCCACCAUUGGCUUUUAUGAACAAAAACUCAUUGAAAACACAAAAUCAGCAAUUUCGUUCCCUCAUGGACUCACGGGUCACCGACUAAAACAGAGACAAAAAUCACGGCAGCAAGAUUCAAACGAUCUGCAAAAUGAGAGUUUAAACAUGCGCAAAUCUGAGCAGAUUUGAACAAUCUGGAUCAAUAAAUUUGGCGAAACAAGCGAGGGAGCUUACAGGAACAAUGAAAAAUGGAAAAAAAAAUCUAUAGGGUUUUGAGUGAGCAAACCUCCGCAAAAUCUGUGUUGAGAUCGAUUGAUGAUGGGCAAGCGAAAAUUUAGAACCUUUCGAAAAGCCAAUCUAUUUUCAUUUCUCGGGUUCCUCGAAUUCUGGGAAUGAGGGGGUAGGAUAUUUCAGGAAAAUGCUCGUCUUUUUGAGCUAAGCGUUCAGAUUCGAAAAGAGUUCUUGCCACUACACCAACCUUCACAUGGUGCGGUGAGCUGAGUGGUUUUAGAUUCUUCUUAUUUUCUUUAUUUUCUUUUCACUAUAUAACGUUUUUUCCAGGAAGAAAAUAAAAACUGUCCAGAUUUCCCAUAAAUACCCAAAGAAAAAUAUAAUGAUAAGUAAUAAAUGAUGUAUAAAUUUUGGAUUGAAAUAUUACUUUUGAUUUAUGGUAAUAUCAUAGAAAAUUUUGAGGAAAAAAUCUUGACUUCAUCAGCAAGAUAUAACCGUUUUUUC
rnacentral:lncRNA from 1 species